AGAGUUCCCCAGCGCCCGGCAACCUUCGGCACUCCAGAUGUUUUGCCAGCAUUAUGGGUGUAAGUGCAUUAUGGGGGAUGUAGUCUACAACAUCUGGAGUGCCGAAGAUUGCCUAUCCCUGCACUAGAGACUGCUAUUAAUUUGCAUCAGCGAUUUUCAUGUAUAUUUCUGUAAUGCUGGUCUUUGCUGCGGCAUAUGCCUGUCAACGAUGUCUCUUAGAAAUCAGUAAUCAGGGGUUUAUGGAAAACAUACAAAUUUUUGUUUCAUCCCAUAACCUUCUUCACAGAUGCUGCAAAUUUUUAUGGAGCUUAGUU